AAGGUGGCCACAGGAGAUCAUGGU
rnacentral:miRNA from 1 species